rnacentral:rRNA from 1 species
AGUCACUGACAUUAGAUACCCGUGUAGUCCAGGGUGUAAACGCUGCAGACUUGGUGUUGGAAGCCCUUUGGGGGCAUUCAGUGCCGGAGAGAAGUUGUUAAGUCUGCUACUUGGGGAGUACGUCCGCAAGGAUGAAACUUAAAGGAAUUGGCGGGGGAGCACCGCAACGGGAGGAGCGUGCGGUUUAAUUGGAUUCAACACCGUAAAACUCACCAGGGAAGACUGUUACAUGAAGGCCGAGAUGAAGACUCUGCUAGAUUUUCAG